CUCUGCCCACUACAGCUCCACAUUAAACGAGAUCAGCCAGGGUAGGCAGCUCAUGCUAGGGACGGGCUCCACCCAACAGCAAGCCCUUGGGCAACUUGUGAAACUGCAUAGACUGAGUGCCCAGAUCUUCCGCAGGCAGGAUUCUGAGGCCCCAGACGCCCUAGUAUGGAAUUACUGGAGCAAGGAAUCUGAGCUUCAGAGAUAUGCAGCAACUUGCUCAAGAAAGCACAGUUCUAAGACCUGGCCACUCCUGAGGAUUAUAUCAGCCACUUGAGAAAUGAUGGGAUCAUUUAAGCUCAUUUAAGGGUUCUUCAGAAGAAGAUCAUGAAAUGAGGAUGUGUGCUCCCAAGAGAAAACCAGAAGGGAGUGGGAGAAGCAGGACAGGAAAGGGAAAGAAGCCAAGCAAAG
rnacentral:lncRNA from 1 species